UCCUCUGUAGUUCAGUCGGUAGAASGGCGGACUGUUAAUCCGUAUGUCACUGGUUCGAGUCCAGUCAGAGGAGCCA
rnacentral:tRNA from 1 species